rnacentral:lncRNA from 1 species
AAACCAAUGUGAAAACACGCGUAGAAACAUCAUAAAUUCAUAAUUCACAACUCAAAACCUUAAUUCAAAUUUGAACUAUUAAUUCAAAUAAGGUAAAGACAAUACAAAUUGAUGUGCAACAUUGUCAAUCACUUUAACCCCAAACAAACUUUUAGUAAUAGAAACCCAAACUCAAAACUAGCAUCCAAAUUUACAGAAUUCAAUAAGGUAAAAGAAGUAGGAUUGAGCUUUGAAGCCAAGAACAAAUAAAUAAAUAAUCGAUAAACUGAUAAGAAUUUUUGAAUUUGUAGAAACUUCGGGAACCACGAAGUUUC